rnacentral:lncRNA from 1 species
ACCGUGCACUGCAAUUUAUUGAAUCAACGCGCGUGGCAUAAACAAUGGAUCGGGCCGGGCCAGCCAGACCAGAGAUAAUGGGGCGUGCCGCUGCCUAAAUAUAGAACACAAUCGUCGUCGUCGUUGCUGUCCAUUUCCUUAUUGCAGUUGUGGCCCAUUGUGUGUGGGUCCUGGGAAUUGGCAAGCGCGGGGGAGGGGCAGCAAACAAAGUGCAACACAUUAGGCGGGUUUUGUCUUUGUCUGAGAAAAACUGCAGCAACAAUGGAGGGGCGGGAAUGCUCUGAAGAGGAGCCUGUAGAUAGUGGACUGGUGCAUCCAGGUUUUUGUGCCUGCCACACAGCCUUUGUGUGUCACGUCAGCCAUUGUUGCACCUACUAGAAUUGGGGGUUGCCAGACAGCUAUUCUGUAGGGGGCGGCCUCUUCUUU